GACGAACGCUGGCGGCGUGCUUAACACAUGCAAGUCGAACGAUUCCUGGUCUUCGGGCCGGGUUUAGUGGCGAACGGGUGAGUAACACGUGGGCAACCUGCCCUCCACUCUGGGAUAACUCCGGGAAACCGGGGCUAAUACUGGAUACGACCUACUCUCGCAUGGGGGUGGGUGGAAAGUUUUUCGGUGGAGGAUGGGCCCGCGGCCUAUCAGCUUGUUGGUGGGGUGAUGGCCUACCAA
rnacentral:rRNA from 1 species